AUGAAUCGGAAUAUCGAUCUGGACGAGUGCACACUAGUGGGAGAUAAUCGCGAGCGGGAGAGGGAGAGAGCUGGCAUGAGCGGGUUUGGGGAGAUAAUCGCGAGCGCCGUGGGGAAACAAGUCGCGGGCAAGCUCGGUGAACUCGCCACGGAGGAGGCCACCCUGCAGUGGAAGUUCAAGGACGAUGUUGAUGUCAUGGCGGACAAGAUGCAAGAUCUGGAGGCCGUUUUGCAUGAUGCGGAUGAUAGGCUGCGUCGACGAGGAAGAGAUGGGGAAGCUGUUGGGCGGUGGCUCACCAAAUUCAAGUCCGUCGCCUACGACGUCGAGGACGUGCUGGACGAUCUGGACGCCACCGAGCUCUUAAAGAAGAGCCAACCAAAGUUGAAGCUGUUCUUUUCCUGGAACAAUCAAAUUCUCCAGCGGAUUACCAUGCCUCACAAGCUAAAGAACCUGAGGGGGGAAAUAGAAAAAAUAGGAAAGGAGGGCCAGGCUCUCAAUCUUGUGAGAAAUCAAGAACGGGCAGAAGGGAGCAGAAAAAAUGAAACUUUUGUAGGCAUCUGUGAAGAAGGCUUGAAAUCUGGAGUGGUGGGGAGGGAUAUGGAAAAGGACAAAAUAAUCAGGCUGCUGCUAAACUAUGAUGAUAACGCUAGAGAGGAUAUAUCUAUCGUCCCAAUUGUCGGGCUUGGUGGUCUAGGGAAGUCAACAUUGGCUGAAUCAGUCUUUGUAGACAAGAGGGUCAAUGACUUCGAAGUCCGAGCCUGGGUUCAUGUGUCUAAGGAGUUUGAUCUGCGCAGAAUUGGGAGUGCCAUCCUCAAAAGCAUAAAUAGCAGUAUCAACCUUGACAACUGUAGUUUGCAGUUUUUACAGGAAAAUCUCAAAAAGGAACUUGCUGGUAGAAGGUACUUGAUUGUUUUGGAUGAUCUGUGGGAAGAGGAUGCGGAUAAGCUGGAAAGGCUGAAGCAGAUGUUACAACAUGGCCGCAAGGGCAGCAGGGUUAUUGUAACAACGCGCAACCAAAGCGUAGUGAAUAAAUUGAGCACCGGUGUUCUUUCACACCAAAGAAAAAUUUGUCCCGUGCCCUACUCUGAUCAAAUCAAAUUGUAUGGUUUGUCAACUGAUGAAUGCUGGGAAGUAAUGAAGCAAACAACAUUUGGGCCUGAUGAUGACAAAAGUCACUUGGAAGAAAUUGGAAGGGAAAUUGCAGAGAAGUGCUGGGGUGUACCACUUGUGGCAAUUGCCCUUGGGCAAGUAAUGUCCGAGUUAAGGACUGUCGAGGCAUGGAAAAAACUAAGAGAUACGAACAUCGAUUUGGGUCACAGAGAUCACAAGGACACAUUGGAGCGCCUCAUGCUGAGCUAUUACUACAUGAAGCUGGAGUUCAAAAUGUGCUUCACAUACUUGGCGGCCUUUCCCAAGGGCUUCAUUAUAGAAAGUGAUCAUCUAAUUCAGCAAUGGAGGGCUCUUGGAUACAUAAUUGGAUGGGACGAUGGUAAAAGGUGCAUUAACUACCUUAUAGGGAUGUCCUUUCUUCAAAUUCCAAGGUCCUCCACUAUUAGGUCAAGUCCAGUGCAUGCCAAUGCUCCUCGAGAGCUCACCAUGCAUGAUUUGGUGCAUGAUCUUGCAACGAUAAUUUUGGGACAUGAAUCCCUUGUUCUAAAUGCUACCGAGCCGAGGACUAGGAAGAAAGCAAAACGUCGUUAUUGCCGACAUGCACAGUUGAUCAACUACCAGAAUCAGUAUAAGGUUUUCAAUGAUCUGCCAGGCAACAUCAGAUCCUUCCAUGUAAGACAUUCAGAGAAACAGCAGCUCCCGCAAAAGGCAUUUUCUAGAACCAAGUAUAUACGGGUCUUGGACCUAAGUGGAUGUUUAGUUGUGGGGCAAUUGACUCCAAGCAAGAAACUUUUGCCAUCUUCCACUCUUCAGUUGAAGCUACUUAGGUACCUAAAUGCCUCUAGCUUGCCAAUUACAUCACUUCCUGAGUCUUUCCAUACACUUCAAAAUAUGGAAACUCUAAUCCUGUCCAAUUGUUCACUUGAAACCUUGCCUGACAGUAUCUGUAGCCUCAACAAACUCUGCUAUUUGGACCUAGCUGCCAAUGCAAGCCUCAAUAAGCUCCCUGAAGAUUUUGAUUUUCUUAACAAACUCAUGUUCCUAAACAUGUCAAGUUGUUCCAAGCUAACCAAACUUCCUGACAAAUUUAGCUUGGAGUGUUUAGAACAUUUAAACUUGUCAGGUUGUCAUGAGUUAAAAAACCUUCCACAAGAUUUCGGCCAUCUUAAAAAUAUUAGGUUCUUGAACCUUUCUGGUUGCUACAAGGUUUCAGUUCUACCAGAAUCAUUUUGCCAACUGAAGCAUUUGAAAGACCUAAACCUUUCAGAGUCUCGUGCCCUUAUAGUGCUCCCUGAAGGUUUUGGCAACCUUUCAGGGCUUGAAUCUUUGAACCUUUCUGAUUGCUACAAGAUUUCAGUUCUGUCAGAAUCAUUUUGCAAAUUGACGCAUUUGAAAGAGCUAAACCUUUCAGGCUGUCGUGCCCUUACAGUGCUCCCUGAAGGUUUUGGUGACCUUUCAGAACUUCAAUCGUUGAACCUUUCUGAUUGCUACGAGAUUUCAGUUUUGCCAGAAUCGUUUUGCCAACUGAAGCAUUUGAAAGACCUAAACCUUUCAGAUUGUCGAGCCCUUAUAGUACUCCCUGAAUGUUUUGGUGACCUUUCAAAGUUGGAGUCUUUGAACCUAACAAGUUGUCCCAGGCUAGCACAGUUGCCCGAUUCAAUCUGCAAGAUGACUAAUCUGAAGUGUCUCAAUUUGUCAUAUUGUUUAGGGAUGUUAGAGCUCCCCUCCUCACUAGGUGAUCUUAAUCUCCAAAUAUUGGACAUUUCUGCUGGUGCUCUUGUUCACUUACCAGAUAGCAUCAGUAAAAUGGCUAGUCUCACCCAAUUUGUGGUCACAUCAGGGCAUCCUAGGAUGUUUGGAGAAGCCCAGGAAAUAAAGAAGCGCCUAAAAUUGCCAGGCCGCACGGUACAUAGAGUAUGCCAGAGACCUUCAGGGCGCAGCAGUAUAGUGGAGCUUGCACAUGUGAAUUGCCGUGAGCUGUUAAUUGGAUCUCUUCAGCGUGUCAAGAAACCGGAGGACGCAGAGAGAGUCAAUCUGCGUGAUAAAUCAUGUGUUCGGCAAUUAGCUCUCCACUGGAACAAGAGGAAUAUGAAUGCUGACUCGGCUCGGUCUAUUCUGGAGAGACUCAUGCCAGCUCGAAAUCUUGAACAGCUUAUGAUACAAGGAUAUUCUGGAGUGGAUUUUCCUAACUGGAUGUCGCACAUAUCCUUCCACCUCCCUUCUGUUACAUAUCUGAGUCUUUCUGAUUUACGUGCAUGUUAUGCUCUUCCUCCGUUUGGCCAGCUACCAAAUUUAAGAAGUCUAUAUCUGCAGAAAAUGCCUAACAUCACGAUGAUCGGCAUGGAAUUCUAUGGGGAGGGUGGAAUUUGUAAGAAACUAAGAUUGCUACAACUGCAGUCGAUGAAAAAUUUGGUGGCAUGGUUUACAACACGGUCAGGCGAAGAAGAUGGGGAAUUUUUAAUCCCUAAUUUGCAUAAUCUAGAGUUAAAGGACUGCCCAAAGUUGAAGUUCCGACCAUAUCCCCCUAGAAGUAUGUUUUGGUGCUUGGACAAUAGCGAUGAGGUUUUGGCAGGAAGAGAAGGAUUUGGGAAACUCUCAUCGUCCACUCUUCCUUGUCGCAUGGGCAUAAAAAAUAGCUUUCGUCCUCGUAAGUGGCGUAGACUAAAGCAUUUCCCCACUCUCGAGGAAUUCUCAUUGACCUUCUGCCACGGCUUGAGGGCCUUGCCAGAGGUCAUUCGCUGCUUCACCUCUCUCAAAAAACUAAGUUUGAUGUCGUUGGGGGACCUGGAGACGCUGCCGGAUUGGUUGGGAUAUCUCCCUUCUCUACAAGUCUUGGGCAUAAAAGAUUGUCGCAAUUUAAGAAUAUUGCCUGCAAGUAUGGGAAACCUCACUGCUCUGAGAUUACUAAUGCUUCUCGAGUGCCAAGGACUAUAUAGAUUGCCGGAAUGGCUAGGACAGCUCAGUUGCCUACGAGAACUUCAUAUCAGAGACUGCCCCAACAUCACAUCUUUGCCUGAAAGCAUAAGAAACCUUACUGCCCUGGAAGAAAUGUACAUUUCUGGUUGUUCAAGUCUGGUCCAUAGGUCCCAAAGGGAGGAUGCGUAUAAGGUUUCUCACAUCCGUAAAGUAAUAUUUGAGCCAGAAGAAGAACCAAAUGAAGAACAAGGACAAGAAGAAUCACAGGAAGCAUGGAUGGAUAGGCUAUUGAAAAUAGAUGGGGAAAACCCGUGGACACAUAGAGAGGAACGAGAAGAACUAGAGUCACGGAUGUCGGACUCAGACUCCGAACAGCUCUCUCAUUAUGGGCAAGAAGAUUCGGAAAAUGAGGAUGAUGAGCAAGAAGAUUGGUAA
rnacentral:rRNA from 1 species